UUAAGCGACUAAGCGUACACGGUGGAUGCCCUGGCAGUCAGAGGCGAUGAAGGACGUGCUAAUCUGCGAUAAGCGCCGGUAAGGUGAUAUGAACCGUUAUAACCGGCGAUUUCCGAAUGGGGAAACCCAGUGUGACUCGUCACACUAUCAUUAACUGAAUCCAUAGGUUAAUGAGGCGAACCGGGGGAACUGAAACAUCUAAGUACCCCGAGGAAAAGAAAUCAACCGAGAUUCCCCCAGUAGCGGCGAGCGAACGGGGAGGAGCCCAGAGCCUGAAUCAGCAUGUGUGUUAGUGGAAGCGUCUGGAAAGGCGCGCGAUACAGGGUGACAGCCCCGUACACAAAAGCGCAUGUGCUGUGAGCUCGAUGAGUAGGGCGGGACACGUGGUAUCCUGUCUGAAUAUGGGGGGACCAUCCUCCAAGGCUAAAUACUCCUGACUGACCGAUAGUGAACCAGUACCGUGAGGGAAAGGCGAAAAGAACCCCGGCGAGGGGAGUGAAAAAGAACCUGAAACCGUGUACGUACAAGCAGUGGGAGCCCCACCACUAAGCCAGUGGUGAACUCCACAUACGCAUCCUUUGCUGAGGAUACGGUUAACGGAGCGAAAGCGACGUUCAACCUCAAAAGAAGCAGAGGGGGCUUAGUGGUGGGGUGACUGCGUACCUUUUGUAUAAUGGGUCAGCGACUUAUAUUCUGUAGCAAGGUUAACCGAAUAGGGGAGCCGGAGGGAAACCGAGUCUUAAUUGGGCGUUAAGUUGCAGGGUAUAGACCCGAAACCCGGUGAUCUAGCCAUGGGCAGGUUGAAGGUUGGGUAACACUAACUGGAGGACCGAACCGACUAAUGUUGAAAAAUUAGCGGAUGACCUGUGGCUGGGGGUGAAAGGCCAAUCAAACCGGGAGAUAGCUGGUUCUCCCCGAAAGCUAUUUAGGUAGCGCCUCGUGAAUUCAUCUCCGGGGGUAGAGCACUGUUUCGGCUAGGGGGCCAUCCCGGCUUACCAACCCGAUGCAAACUGCGAAUACCGGAGAAUGUUAUCACGGGAGACACACGGCGGGUGCUAACGUCCGUCGUGAAGAGGGAAACAACCCAGACCGCCAGCUAAGGUCCCAAAGUCAUGGUUAAGUGGGAAACGAUGUGGGAAGGCCCAGACAGCCAGGAUGUUGGCUUAGAAGCAGCCAUCAUUUAAAGAAAGCGUAAUAGCUCACUGGUCGAGUCGGCCUGCGCGGAAGAUGUAACGGGGCUAAACCAUGCACCGAAGCUGCGGCAGCGACGCUUAUGCGUUGUUGGGUAGGGGAGCGUUCUGUAAGCCUGUGAAGGUGUGUCGUGAGGCAUGCUGGAGGUAUCAGAAGUGCGAAUGCUGACAUAAGUAACGAUAAAGCGGGUGAAAAGCCCGCUCGCCGGAAGACCAAGGGUUCCUGUCCAACGUUAAUCGGGGCAGGGUGAGUCGACCCCUAAGGCGAGGCCGAAAGGCGUAGUCGAUGGGAAACGGGUUAAUAUUCCCGUACUUGGUGUUACUGCGAAGGGGGGACGGAGAAGGCUAUGUUGGCCGGGCGACGGUUGUCCCGGUUUAAGCGUGUAGGCUGGUUUUCCAGGCAAAUCCGGAAAAUCAAGGCUGAGGCGUGAUGACGAGGCACUACGGUGCUGAAGCAACAAAUGCCCUGCUUCCAGGAAAAGCCUCUAAGCAUCAGGUAACAUCAAAUCGUACCCCAAACCGACACAGGUGGUCAGGUAGAGAAUACCAAGGCGCUUGAGAGAACUCGGGUGAAGGAACUAGGCAAAAUGGUGCCGUAACUUCGGGAGAAGGCACGCUGACACGUAGGUGAAGUGAUUUACUCAUGGAGCUGAAGUCAGUCGAAGAUACCAGCUGGCUGCAACUGUUUAUUAAAAACACAGCACUGUGCAAACACGAAAGUGGACGUAUACGGUGUGACGCCUGCCCGGUGCCGGAAGGUUAAUUGAUGGGGUCAGCGCAAGCGAAGCUCCUGAUCGAAGCCCCGGUAAACGGCGGCCGUAACUAUAACGGUCCUAAGGUAGCGAAAUUCCUUGUCGGGUAAGUUCCGACCUGCACGAAUGGCGUAAUGAUGGCCAGGCUGUCUCCACCCGAGACUCAGUGAAAUUGAACUCGCUGUGAAGAUGCAGUGUACCCGCGGCAAGACGGAAAGACCCCGUGAACCUUUACUAUAGCUUGACACUGAACAUUGAGCCUUGAUGUGUAGGAUAGGUGGGAGGCUUUGAAGUGUGGACGCCAGUCUGCAUGGAGCCGACCUUGAAAUACCACCCUUUAAUGUUUGAUGUUCUAACGUGGACCCGUGAUCCGGGUUGCGGACAGUGUCUGGUGGGUAGUUUGACUGGGGCGGUCUCCUCCUAAAGAGUAACGGAGGAGCACGAAGGUUGGCUAAUCCUGGUCGGACAUCAGGAGGUUAGUGCAAUGGCAUAAGCCAGCUUGACUGCGAGCGUGACGGCGCGAGCAGGUGCGAAAGCAGGUCAUAGUGAUCCGGUGGUUCUGAAUGGAAGGGCCAUCGCUCAACGGAUAAAAGGUACUCCGGGGAUAACAGGCUGAUACCGCCCAAGAGUUCAUAUCGACGGCGGUGUUUGGCACCUCGAUGUCGGCUCAUCACAUCCUGGGGCUGAAGUAGGUCCCAAGGGUAUGGCUGUUCGCCAUUUAAAGUGGUACGCGAGCUGGGUUUAGAACGUCGUGAGACAGUUCGGUCCCUAUCUGCCGUGGGCGCUGGAGAACUGAGGGGGGCUGCUCCUAGUACGAGAGGACCGGAGUGGACGCAUCACUGGUGUUCGGGUUGUCAUGCCAAUGGCACUGCCCGGUAGCUAAAUGCGGAAGAGAUAAGUGCUGAAAGCAUCUAAGCACGAAACUUGCCCCGAGAUGAGUUCUCCCUGAGACUUAAAGUCUCCUGAAGGAACGUUGAAGACGACGACGUUGAUAGGCCGGGUGUGUAAGCGCAGCGAUGCGUUGAGCUAACCGGUACUAAUGAACCGUGAGGCUUAACCUU
rnacentral:rRNA from 1 species